rnacentral:rRNA from 1 species
UACCAGCUCUCCGAGUGGUAGGGAUGAUUAUUUGGCUUAAAGCGUCCGUAGCCGGCUUAGCAAGUUUCCUGUUAAACCCAGCGACUCAAUCGUUGGAUCGCGGGAAAUACUACUAGGCUAGGAGGCGGGAGAGGUCAACGGUACUUCUGGGGUAGGGGUGAAAUCCUAUAAUCCCGGGAGGACCACCAGUGGCGAAGGCUGUUGACUAGAACGCGCUCGACGGUGAGGGACGAAAGCUGGGGUAGCAAACCGGAUCAGAUACCCGGGUAGUCCCAGCUGUAAACGAUGCGAGCUAGGUGUUGGGAUGGCUACGGGCCAUUUCAGUGCCGCAGGGAAGCCAUUAAGCUCGCCGCCUGGGGAGUACGGCCGCAAGGCUGAAACUUAAAGGAAUUGGCGGGGGAGCACCACAAGGCGUGAAGCUUGCGGUUC